UACGUAGGGGGCAAGCGUUGUCCGGAUUUAUUGGGCGUAAAGCGCUCGCAGGUGGUCCGUCGCGUCGUGCGUGAAAGGCCCCGGCUCAACUGGGGAGGGUCGUGCGAUACGGGCGGACUGGAGGCCAGUAGGGGGAUGCGGAAUUCCGGGUGUAGUGGUGGAAUGCGUAGAGAUCCGGAGGAACACCAGCGGCGAAGGCGGCAUCCUGGACUGGUCCUGACACUCAGGAGCGAAAGCGUGGGGAGCGAACAGG
rnacentral:rRNA from 1 species